rnacentral:rRNA from 1 species
UACAGAGGAGCCAAGCGUUGUCCGGAUUGACUGGGCGUAAAGCGCACGCAGGCGGAUGUGCGCGUGGGGUGUGAAAUCUGGCCGCUUAACGGCCAGGCGCCAUCCCAUACGGCACAGCUGGAGGGCUGCAGAGGUCGAUGGAAUUGCCGGUGUAGUGGUGAAAUGCGUAGAGAGUCGGCAGGAACACCCAGGGGGAAACCAGUCGACUGGGCAGCAGC